rnacentral:rRNA from 1 species
AACGAACGCUGGCGGCAUGCCUAACACAUGCAAGUCGAACGAGACCUUCGGGUCUAGUGGCUCACGGGUGCGUAACGCGUGGGAACCUGCCCUUAGGUUCGGAAUAACUCCCCGUAAGGGGUGCUAAUACCGGAUAAUGUCUUCGGACCAAAGAUUUAUCGCCUUUGGAUGGGCCCGCGUUGGAUUAGCUAGUUGGUAGGGUAAAAGCCUACCAAGGCGACGAUCCAUAGCUGGUCUGAGAGGAUGAUCAGCCACACUGGGACUGAGACACGGCCCAGACUCCUACGGGAGGCAGCAGUGGGGAAUAUUGGACUAUGGGCGAAAGCCUGAUCCAGCAAGGCCGCGUGAGUGAUGAAGGCCGUAGGGUAGUAAAGCUCUUUUACCCGGGAUGAUAAUGACAGUACCGGGAGAAUAAGCUCCGGCUAACUCCGUG